GGGCUGCCUUGGGAGAAUGAUGGAAAAGGCUGUCUCUUUGCAUGGUUGCUAGCUUUUGAGGGCACAGCUACACAGGAACGCACCCAAGAAGAAAGAAGGGUUCCUCUUUCCAAAGCUACCCAUGCUUCUGUUCUGUGACGGUUACGUCCUCCAAGGAGCUUACAGAUGGCCUGGUGACAUGGAGGUGACAAAGGCCAAAACACAGGCCAGGAGGAGAGAUCUGUUCGAUGGGACACAGAAUAUAACCUGGAACACAGAAUGUAACCCGGAAGGUAAGAGCAAAAGUAGCUCCUGAAGCCAGGCUGCUGAAGUGCAAGAGACGCACACAAGAGAAAUGACCCCGGAUACUGAAGGCUGCGUCUGGAAUACUACAGAAUUAUAAUACUUAUAGUUAACAACCCUGAUGUGGAUUCUGAAAAGCUUUAAGAGGUGUAGAGUUUGAGCUGGGUACUAGCUCAGCUGUUGAAGGAUUUAAAGAUUUAUAACCCAAAUGCCAUGGAUUCUGUAAUUUGUCAGACUAUUUCUCUCUGGACAGUUGGAUCUCAAAGGUGGCAGCAGUAUACGUCCCUCACAACCUGUCAGCUCAGCA